AGUUUCUAUUUUAGUUACACAGGGUUUAGAAAACAUUAAUGCCAUGUAGAAAUAGAAUCUAUAAUCUUCUUUUAUAUCUUGCAGUUCAUGUGUACAACAUUUCUCUAUUUUCUUCAUUCAGCGUACAUUCUUACCUCUGUUCCUCUUGUAUGAAAACCUGGCAAGAGGAUGGCACUGUGGCCCAGCAGUCCUGGGCACAGUUGAGUGGAGAACAGGACCGGAAUCAGAGGGGCUUUAUCUCACAGUUCCUUGCCUAAGAUGUGCAUGAAGGGGAUCCAGAGAGGCAGCCAGUCUGCACAGGACAAGUGGGAGCUGUCAGUUGCUGAGGAUUCUGGGAUGAUUCCAGCAGCUUGUCUUCUCAUUUUCAAAAGAAAACACGUUAUCAGCGGUUGAAGCUGGUCCUCCUAGAAAAGUAAACAAAUCUGUGACUGCUCUUAUAACACUCACAGAUCUUGUCACAGGGGGCUAGAUGCUGUUGGCAGAUCAUCAAUUAAAGGGUGCCUAUGUGAAAACAAA